UUGGAGGGCAAGUCUGGUGCCAGCAGCCGCGGUAAUUCCAGCUCCAAUAGCGUAUAUUAAAGUUGUUGCAGUUAAAAAGCUCGUAGUUGAAUUUCGGGAUUGACGUGAUGGUCAUGCCUUAAGGGGUAUGAACUGUCACUGUUGAUUUCUCACCUUCUGGAGAAACUUGAUGUCCUUUAUUGGGUGUCUUGCGGAUCCAGGACCUUUACCUUGAAAAAAUUAGAGUGUUUAAAGCAGGCAUUUUUGCUCGAAUACAUUAGCAUGGAAUAAUAGAAUAGGACGGCAUGGUUCUAUUUUGUUGGUUUCUAGGAUCACCGUAAUGAUUAAUAGGGAUAGUUGGGGGCAUUAGUAUUCAAUUAUCAGAGGUGAAAUUCUUGGAUUUAUUGAAGACUAACUACUGCGAAAGCAUUUGCCAAGGAUGUUUUCAUUAAUCAAGAACGAAAGUUAGGGGAUCGAAAACGAUCAGAUACCGUCGUAGUCUUAACCAUAAACUAUGCCGACUAGGAAUCGGACGAUGUUAAUUUUUUAAUGACUCGUUUGGCACCUUACGGGAAACCAAAGUGUUUGGGUUC
rnacentral:rRNA from 1 species